UGGGCAACCUGCCCCUAGCUCUGGGAUAACUGCGGGAAACUGUAGCUAAUACCGGAUGUGACACGAGACUGCAUGGUCUUCGUGUGGAAAGAUUUAUCGGCUAGGGAUGGGCCCGCGGUCUAUCAGCUUGUUGGUGGGUAAUGGCUCACCGAGGCGACGACGGAUAACCGGCCUGAGAGGGCGACCGGUCACACUGGGACUGAGACACGGCCCAGACCUCCGUACGGGAG
rnacentral:rRNA from 1 species